CAGUACCGCGGUAAUACGAGGGGGGCAAGCGUUGUUCGGAAUUAUUGGGCGUAAAGGGUGCGUAGGCGGUUUGACAAGUCUUAUGUGAAAUCUUCGGGCUCAACCCGAAGUCUGCAUGGGAAACUGUCGGGCUUGAGUAUUGGAGAGGUGAGUGGAAUUUCCGGUGUAGCGGUGAAAUGCGUAGAUAUCGGAAGGAACGCCUGUGGCGAAAGCGGCUCACUGGACAAUAACUGACGCUGAUGCACGAAUGCUAGGGGAGCAAACAGGAUUAGAUACCCCGGUAGUCCCUGUCUCUUAUACA
rnacentral:rRNA from 1 species